UGGGGCGUAGCCAAGUCGGCAAGGCAACGGGUUUUGGUUCCGUCAUUCGGAGGUUCGAGUCCUCCCGCCCCAGCCA
rnacentral:tRNA from 1 species